rnacentral:lncRNA from 1 species
CAUGGGGGCAGGUCUCUCCCAUGCUGUUCUCCUGAUAGCGAGUAAGUCUUACAAGACCUGACGGUAUUAUAAGAGGGAGUUUUCCUGCCCAAUCUCUCUUUGCCUGCUGCCAUCCACAUAAGACAUGAUUUACUCCUCCUUGCCUUCUGCCAUGAUUUUGAGGCCUCCCCAGCCAUGUGGGACUACAGGGUCUCACUUUGUCACCCAGCCUGGAGUCUAGUAGUGUGAUGAUAGCUCACUGCAGCCUAGACCUGUCCAGGCUCAAGCAGUCCUCCCACCUCAGCCCCAUGGAGUAGAUGGGAUUACAGGGUGUUGGUCUUCAUAAAUAUAUUUGAUGAAACUCACUGAUCAGGGACCAGAGGAUCUGAGUCAUCAGGUGCUGUUCCAACCUCACCAUGCAUUUCUGCUAGAACAGCUAGAGCUUAACAUGCCACCAGCCUUAGUGCCAUUCCUUGACCUCUCCUGAGUAGACUGCCAAAAACAAGACAUGCAGUUACACAUACCACUUCAUGUUGCUGCAAGUGGUCUGGAAGUGACAAGAACAAAUUGGUGGAUGUAGAAGUAGGAGAAUCCCACCCUGACAGAAGAUGAAUAAGCUGGACUUGCCUCAUCUGAGCCAUGGCUGACACAAGCAAGGUGGAAUGAAAGAGUGAGCAACUUUUCACAACCCAUGCUUCCCAGCCCUGACCACUGUGGAUGGCCGUGAUUAUCUCCAGACAAAAUGACUGCGAGUAAAAGGCUUACAUACACUUAAAUUAAACACAGCAGGGUUUUUGUAAUCUCUGUUUGCAUUUUGCUUUCUGUUAAGAAGGAAAUUGCUUGGACUUGGAACAUUUCAUUUAACGGCAUUUUUAGUUACCUUUUGUACUUCUAAUGCCAUAGACUAAAUUCACCCCAAAUUACCCAGUAAGACUUAAGAAAACUUUUGUCCUUUUUUGUUUAUUUUUUUAAUUGCAGUAGCUUCCUUACCAAUUUUACUAAAUUAAAUGUGUUUUAAAGCAUCUCAGUUCUUGAAGCUUAAUUAUUCCAAUCUCUGGGUGAAGUACAGCAAACAAUACAAACCCCAUUUAUGUAAUUUAUUUUGAAAAAGAAAAUAAUGGAAUGCAGUUGUGCUAAUGAUACACACACUUCUGUAUUUUUUUCUCCUUUUCGACAACAACUUAGCAGAACCAUGUCAUUUUGAAACAAAAGCUUUAAGGGUAUUUUGAGGUUUUGGUUUGUCCAUAGUCAGCUUCGAGGAGAAGAAGGUAAAGUGCAUAACAUUACAUGACUUUCAAAUAUCAUGAAAGAUUUUGUUUUGUUUUCUUCAUAUUAUCCUUCCAUCA